GUGAACGCUGGCGGUAGGCCUAACACAUGCAAGUCGAACGGCAGCACAGUAAGAGCUUGCUCUUACGGGUGGCGAGUGGCGGACGGGUGAGGAAUACAUCGGAAUCUACUUUUUCGUGGGGGAUAACGUAGGGAAACUUACGCUAAUACCGCAUACAACCUACGGGUGAAAGCAGGGGAUCUUCGGACCUUGCGCGAUUGAAUGAGCCGAUGUCGGAUUAGCUAGUUGGCGGGGUAAAGGCCCACCAAGGCGACGAUCCGUAGCUGGUCUGAGAGGAUGAUCAGCCACACUGGAACUGAGACACGGUCCAGACUCCUACGGGAGGCAGCAGUGGGGAAUAUUGGACAAUGGGCGCAAGCCUGAUCCAGCCAUACCGCGUGGGUGAAGAAGGCCUUCGGGUUGUAAAGCCCUUUUGUUGGGAAAGAAAAGCAGCAGGUUAAUACCCCGCUGUUCUGACGGUACCCAAAGAAUAAGCACCGGCUAACUUCGUG
rnacentral:rRNA from 1 species